rnacentral:rRNA from 1 species
GAUGAACGCUGGCGGCGUGCUUAACACAUGCAAGUCGAACGGUGAAGGCGGAGCUUGCUCUGCUGGAUCAGUGGCGAACGGGUGAGUAACACGUGAGCAAUCUGCCCCUGACUCUGGGAUAAGCGCUGGAAACGGCGUCUAAUACUGGAUACGAGCUGCGAAGGCAUCUUCAGCAGCUGGAAAGAAUUUCGGUCAGGGAUGAGCUCGCGGCCUAUCAGCUUGUUGGUGGGGUAAUGGCUCACCAAGGCGUCGACGGGUAGCCGGCCUGAGAGGGUGACCGGCCACACUGGGACUGAGACACGGCCCAGACUCCUACGGGAGGCAGCAGUGGGGAAUAUUGCACAAUGGGCGAAAGCCUGAUGCAGCAACGCCGCGUGAGGGACGACGGCCCUCGGGUUGUAAACCUCUUUUAGCAGGGAAGAAGCGAAAGUGACGGUACCUGCAGAAAAAGCGCCGGCUAACUACGUG